CUUAAUUCUUCCCUGGACACCAGUCUGCAUCAGCACCAUGGGUUAUAGAGAGGGUGUUUUUUGCUGUCUUCUGGAACUUCUUCUUGUACCCUGGCCAGAGUUUCUGGGCACCUCUGGCUGGAGUGCUGAAGGAGCUCUGCUUAAUAUAUGCAAACUCCCUAAACAAGAGGGAAUAUGUAUUGA